rnacentral:lncRNA from 1 species
AACGUCCUAACGAGGUAUGUCGGAGCUACGACCAAUACUGUCGAGGAUGGCUCGGCAAAUCAAACACUUUGAACUGCACGUAGAAAAAAAUUUGAAAAAUCUUUGAUUUCAUUUAGUUGAAGUGACUUACAAAAUUAGACCGAAGUCCAAUUACAAAUAUCAAAGAUGAAACAGAAAUAAAAGAAUACAAAGAUGAUGGAGCAGAUACUCCGACUAUUCGUCGGAGUCGACUUCUUGCAUCGGGGAG